rnacentral:rRNA from 1 species
UGGGGAAUUUUGGACAAUGGGCGAAAGCCUGAUCCAGCAAUGCCGCGUGUGUGAAGAAGGCCUUCGGGUUGUAAAGCACUUUUGUCCGGAAAGAAAUCCUCUGGGUUAAUACCUCGGGGGAUGACGGUACCGGAAGAAUAAGCACCGGCUAACUACGUGCCAGCAGCCGCGGUAAUACGUAGGGUGCAAGCGUUAAUCGGAAUUACUGGGCGUAAAGCGUGCGCAGGCGGUCCGCUAAGACAGAUGUGAAAUCCCCGGGCUUAACCUGGGAACUGCAUUUGUGACUGGCGGGCUAGAGUAUGGCAGAGGGGGGUAGAAUUCCACGUGUAGCAGUGAAAUGCGUAGAGAUGUGGAGGAAUACCGAUGGCGAAGGCAGCCCCCUGGGCCAAUACUGACGCUCAUGCACGAAAGCGUGGGGAGCAAACAGGAUUAGAUACCCUGGUAGUCCACGCCCUAAACGAUGUCAACUAGUUGUCGGGUCUUCAUUGACUUGGUAACGUAGCUAACGCGUGAAGUUGACCGCCUGGGGAGUACGGUCGCAAGAUUAAAACUCAAAUGAAUUGACGGGGUC